rnacentral:lncRNA from 1 species
ACAGAUCUUGAAAAUAAAAGAAGAAGGACUUUAGGAUUUUUUAGAAAUCCUAGAAAUAAGAAGGCUUGGAAAGGGAUCUGGUCUCGAACAAGUCUGAGCCAUAUAUAUGCUAUUGAGGCUCGAACAUGUAGGAACGGAGCCGGAGAGGCCAUAGGACCUCAGAACUGUAGAAGAUCUGAACGGGCUUCGAUGAGGUUGAACCUCGAAAACCUUGAACCACCACGAUUUGGGGUGAAGUGAAGUAAGCACAGGCCGUCCAUGGCCUGAGAAGCCAUGGACUCCAGUGGGAUUUAGUCAGAGAAGACGAUAGAGGCGGCUAGGGUUUCGAGUGUUAGAGAGAAUUUGAGAGGAAGUGAGGGUUCAGAGGCGGC